CUGACUUAACUAAGGAGUGUGGACAAUAACUGUUAGGUGAGCCCACAUGACUUAGAGACCAAGUCGCUGCAAUAUGCUUAGAGAAGUAUUUGGACAAAGAGUUAUUCAUGCAUCGAUGUGCGUGUUAUCAAUAACUAUUAGAUGAGGUACACGACAUCGGUGGAACCGCAGCAUCCAUUAGAAAUCCAUUAUCGCGUUAGGAUUUUUGUUUCUCCAUCCGGAGAGUGUGAGAGAUCUGAUAAAAUAAUGUGACUUCUUUUGCAUCUAAAAAUUUUCAGAGUAAAUUAAAAAAUAAGUACAAACAUCUAACUAAAAUUUUUGCUCUCUGCUAUUUAUUGUGUCAGCUUCCAACCCUCUAGCUCAAAUCCUAGAUAUCAAACGUUUACCUAAAAUCGAUUACAUAGACUGGCUCACAAACCUAAGAAUCAUUUUUAAUUAGAAAAUUAAGCAAUGUUCUCUACCAGGUUAUUCUAAUAUUAACAGCCUAUCUAAUCCAAAGUCAACGAGCUAUACCUAAUGAGUAGAUGGACAAUGACAAUAAAGAUAGGUGCUAUAUGUUGAAGUCCAUAUUAGAUAAACUCCAACAUAUGCAUGAGUACAUGUUCAUUGCCAAC
rnacentral:lncRNA from 1 species